GACGAACGCUGGCGGCGUGCUUAACACAUGCAAGUCGAACGGUAAGGCCCUUCGGGGUACACGAGUGGCGAACGGGUGAGUAACACGUGGGUGAUCUGCCCUGCACUUCGGGAUAAGCCUGGGAAACUGGGUCUAAUACCGGAUAGGACUCCGGACUGCAUGGUCUGGGGUGGAAAGCUUUUGCGGUGUGGGAUGGGCCCGCGGCCUAUCAGCUUGUUGGUGGGGUGAUGGCCCACCAAGGCGACGACGGGUAGCCGGCCUGAGAGGGUGACCGGCCACACGGGGACUGAGAUACGGCCCAGACUCCGACGGGAGGCUGCAGUGGGGAAUAUUGCACAAUGGGCGCAAGCCUGAUGCAGCGACGCCGCGUGAGGGAUGACGGCCUUCGGGUUGUAAACCUCUUUCAGCAUCGACGAAGCGAAAGUGACGGUAGGUGCAGAAGAAGGACCGGCCAACUACGUGCCAGCCGCCGCAGUAA
rnacentral:rRNA from 1 species